AUUGAACGCUGGCGGCAGGCUUAACACAUGCAAGUCGAACGAUGAUUUCCCAGCUUGCUGGGAAUGAUUAGUGGCGGACGGGUGAGUAACAUUUAGGAAUCUGCCUAGUAGUGGGGGAUAGCUCGGGGAAACUCGAAUUAAUACCGCAUACGACCUACGGGUGAAAGGGGGCGCAAGCUCUUGCUAUUAGAUGAGCCUAAAUCAGAUUAGCUAGUUGGUGGGGUAAAGGCCCACCAAGGCGACGAUCUGUAACUGGUCUGAGAGGAUGAUCAGUCACACCGGAACUGAGACACGGUCCGGACUCCUACGGGAGGCAGCAGUGGGGAAUAUUGGACAAUGGGGGCAACCCUGAUCCAGCCAUGCCGCGUGUGUGAAGAAGGCCUUUUGGUUGUAAAGCACUUUAAGCAGGGAGGAGAGGCUAAUGGUUAAUACCCAUUAGAUUAGACGUUACCUGCAGAAUAAGCACCGGCUAACUCUGUGCCAGCAGCCGCGGUAAUACAGAGGGUGCGAGCGUUAAUCGGAAUUACUGGGCGUAAAGCGAGUGUAGGUGGCUCAUUAAGUCACAUGUGAAAUCCCCGGGCUUAACCUGGGAACUGCAUGUGAUACUGGUGGUGCUAGAAUAUGUGAGAGGGAAGUAGAAUUCCAGGUGUAGCGGUGAAAUGCGUAAAGAUCUGGAGGAAUACCGAUGGCGAAGGCAGCUUCCUGGCAUAAUAUUGACACUGAGAUUCGAAAGCGUGGGUAGCAAACAGGAUUAGAUACCCUGGUAGUCCACGCCGUAAACGAUGUCUACUAGCCGUUGGGGUCCUUGAGACUUUAGUGGCGCAGUUAACGCGAUAAGUAGACCGCCUGGGGAGUACGGCCGCAAGGUUAAAACUCAAAUGAAUUGACGGGGGCCCGCACAAGCGGUGGAGCAUGUGGUUUAAUUCGAUGCAACGCGAAGAACCUUACCUGGUCUUGACAUAGUGAGAAUCCUGCAGAGAUGCGGGAGUGCCUUCGGGAAUUCACAUACAGGUGCUGCAUGGCUGUCGUCAGCUCGUGUCGUGAGAUGUUGGGUUAAGUCCCGCAACGAGCGCAACCCUUUUCCUUAUUUGCCAGCGGGUUAAGCCGGGAACUUUAAGGAUACUGCCAGUGACAAACUGGAGGAAGGCGGGGACGACGUCAAGUCAUCAUGGCCCUUACGACCAGGGCUACACACGUGCUACAAUGGUAGGUACAGAGGGUUGCUACACAGCGAUGUGAUGCUAAUCUCAAAAAGCCUAUCGUAGUCCGGAUUGGAGUCUGCAACUCGACUCCAUGAAGUCGGAAUCGCUAGUAAUCGCAGAUCAGAAUGCUGCGGUGAAUACGUUCCCGGGCCU
rnacentral:rRNA from 1 species